rnacentral:rRNA from 1 species
GCACAAGCGGUGGAUGAUGUGGUUUAAUUCGAUGCAACGCGAAAAACCUUACCCACCUUUGACAUGUACGGAAUUUGCCAGAGAUGGCUUAGUGCUCGAAAGAGAACCGUAACACAGGUGCUGCAUGGCUGUCGUCAGCUCGUGUCGUGAGAUGUUGGGUUAAGUCCCGCAACGAGCGCAACCCUUGUCAUUAGUUGCUACAUUUAGUUGGGCACUCUAAUGAGUCUGCCGGUGACAAACCGGAGGAAGGUGGGGGUGACGUCAAGUCCUCAUGGCCCUUAUAGGUGGGGCUACACACGUCAUACAAUGGCCGGUACAAAGGGUUGCCAACCCGCGAGGGGGAGCUAAUCCCACAAAACCGGUCGUAGUCCGGAUCGCAGUCUGCAACUCGACUGCGUGAAGUCGGAAUCGCUAGUAAUCGUGGAUCAGAAUGUCACGGUGAAUACGUUCCCGGGCCUUGUACACACCG